GACGAACGCUGGCGGCGUGCCUAAUACAUGCAAGUCGAGCGCAGGAAAUCGACGGAACCCUUCGGGGGGAAGUCGACGGAAUGAGCGGCGGACGGGUGAGUAACACGUAAAGAACCUGCCCUCAGGUCUGGGAUAACCACGAGAAAUCGGGGCUAAUACCGGAUGGGUCAUCGGACCGCAUGGUCCGAGGAUGAAAGGCGCUUCGGCGUCGCCUGGGGAUGGCUUUGCGGUGCAUUAGCUAGUUGGUGGGGUAAUGGCCCAUCAAGGCGACGAUGGAUGGCGGACCUGAGAGGGUGAGCGGCAACACUGGGACUGAGACACGGCCCAGACUCCUACGGGAGGCAGCAGUAGGGAAUCUUCCACAAUGGACGAAAGUCUGAUGGAGCAACGCCGCGUGAACGAAGAAGGCCUUCGGGUCGUAAAGUUCUGUUGUAAGGGAAGAACAAGUGCCGCAGGCAAUGGCGGCACCUUGACGGUACCUUGCGAGAAAGCCACGGCUAACUACGUGCCAGCAGCCGCGGUAA
rnacentral:rRNA from 1 species